AUGCAAGCUACUGACAUAACCAGGGGCGCUGAAGUGACAGAGUGCAGCGGAAAAUGGACAUCCGGAGUGGCAUACAAAAGGCAGUGGAGCCCCUCCCUACCUCUCUCCCCUCCUCCCCUCAACAGCCGGAGGACAGCCAGGCAGAGCGGAGCGCCAGGCCCACCGCUGACAACCACAGCAAGGACACCCAGCCAGCCGCCGGCCACCGAGACGACAAAAAACAAACGGGCCCCUGCGAGGCACCGGUUUCUCCUUUACGUGGCAGAUGGUCCGGCACUCUGCUGUUGCAUCAGGUAACCAUGACAACCACCUCCCUCCCCAGCAGCUAGCUUCAGGGCCAUGUCUCCUUAUAGAGAUCAAUAGUCUCCAUAGUGUCUGUAGCAAGCAAGAGCCUCCUCUACAUUGUCUAAGGAGGGAGAGAAUGGCGUUUUGUCAGGGCACCAUAGCUGCUGUUAUGUAAUUACAUUCAGGCAGCGGAUAGGGAAAGACAAGGCACUGCUGAUGAUAUACAGCAACAACGCCAGCUUUAGAAUGAUUUCAUUGUGCUCAACUGGUUUAUCUUUAACACCAGUUUUUGUAACAUUAGAUUUCCUCCCUUAACUCACAGGACUUACAAGCCAGUAAAUGAAUGUUCUGUGAAGGAGCUGUGUCUCCUAUUGAUCUUAAGCUGAUAAACAGUCAAGAGGUUUCCUUUUCUCACAAUUACGUCAAUGGCACAUAGAUCAGCGUGCACAAUUGUUUCCACUGUUCUCAGAAAUGUGUGAUUGUGUCUCCCACCUCGGUCUUGUAAUAAUACCAUCCAUCCUGUAGUUUAUCUCUUACUUGUGUUCUUGAUGCACUAUUGCUGCUCAUGUAAAUGUGAUGUUUUGAGAUCAGUAGAAGAAGAAGAACACUUUAUUGUCCAUUAACUUGCAGAGAACGAAAAUGUGUCUUAAUGCUCACUUCCCAACCCCCCGAGUCCAACUAAGCGUAUCAUAGGUAUCAUAUGAAUUGGUACACUCAGUGUCAUGACUGUCCACGAGAAUCCAAAUAGGUCAGAUCAGGUUUGGAAGGAAUAACUUCAAUCAGACCCCCUCUUACCCGUAGGGUGGAGGAAAGAACUAGUGGGGAUUAACAACUCACGUCCUGUUAUAAAUCAAGGGAGAAAAUUCAGGCUCUCCAUCUCCAAAU
rnacentral:lncRNA from 13 species